rnacentral:lncRNA from 1 species
CAAGUUGAAAGAAAAAUCAUAUUUGUACUCACUUUCAAACAAUUUAAAAUAAAAUCAUAUAAACCUUAUCCAAAUUUGAGUUUUUCAUCAAAAGCAUAUAAUGUCAAAUCCCCAAUUCAAACACCCAAAUAAAAUAUUAAAUUCCAUGCCACAGUCUUUUUAAAGCACUGCAAAAUCCAAAAUAAUUAAUAAAACAAUUUAGAACUACCUUUUUAAGGAAAACCGACGACAGUGCUCCGAAUGCCGAGUUCGAACCUUAACCUCA